CCACUUUACACCUUCUGUCACGGUAGGACAAACGGACGUCCGACAUGGCAUGCCACGUGGACAAAAAUGACACGUGGCACAUGGCAUUUUUGGCACAUGGCAUGCCAUGUGUCCUUUUUGUACACGUGGCAUUUUUGGUACAUGUGGCAUGCCAUGUCGGAUGUCCGUUUGUCCUACCAUGACGGAGGGUGCAAAUUAG
rnacentral:pre_miRNA from 1 species